GACGAACGCUGGCGGCGUGCUUAACACAUGCAAGUCGAACGGAGUGGCGAACGGGUGAGUAACACGUGGGUGAUCUGCCUUGCACUCUGGGAUAAGCUUUGGAAACUGGGUCUAAUACCGGCUAUUGCAAGAUGAGCUCGCGGCCUAUCAGCUUGUUGGUGGGGUAAGGGCCUACCAAGGCGUCGGCGGGUAGCCGGCCUGAGAGGGUGUACGGCGACAUUGGGACUGAGAUACGGCCCAGACUCGUACGGGAGGCAGCAGUGGGGAAUAUUGCACAAUGGGCGGAAGCCUGAUGCAGCGACGCCGCGUGGGGGAUGACGGCCUUCGGGUUGUAAACUCCUUUCGACAGGGACGCGGUACCUGUAGAAGAAGCACCGGCUAACUACGUGCCAGCAGCCGCGGUAAUUC
rnacentral:rRNA from 1 species